CAAAACCCAUGCCUGAAGUCCUGGGAGAUGCAGAUAAUCAAUUGCAUCUCUGAAGAGUUUCAUGACAUUGGUCACAUCAGCAGCUGAGACACAGGAGCAGAGAGAACUUCCUGACAAAGGUUCUUACAGGUGUCUUUCCUGGGUGCAUCAGACAGCAGGAUGAAGGCACGAGCCUGUAGUAGCAGGGACACUGUGGUUGGCUGCCUACAACCCAUUGCCCCCCUCGGACCCCAUCACAUCUUCUUAAGAAGGAUAUUCAAUGCUGUCCAAUACAGUAACCACUAGCUACAUGGAAUAUUAAGUUUAAAUCAAUUAAAAUUAAAUAUAAUAUAAACUCAGUUCUUCAGUCUCACAGGCCACAUUCUAAGCAUUCAUAGCUAUGUGUUGCCAGUGGGUACCACAGCAGACAGGACAGAUUAGAACCUUUCCACCAUCAUGAAAAGUUCUAUUGGACAGCGCUAGUCUGUACACUGUGCAGUGGGAGCCCAGACAAGUGAGCUCACACUUCUCCCAAUGGCAUACAUCAAGCUUAGCAAGACAGUGAUGGCAGCCCAGGGUCUGGAGUCUGACUGAGACUGAGAUGUUUUGUGACUACAAGGCAGAGCUUUUAAAAAUGCCUGGAAAGGCAUUUAGUGAACAAGAAAGGCUCACCUGAGAUAUCGCUGGUAUUGCUCUAUAAAUGUUAAGCUCAGUGUCUACUUGUCCAGACAUCACUGCCAGGAACCUCUUCCAAAACUUCCAUACAGGUUUUUAAAUGUGUUCCUUACAUGUGAGGGCUAAUACUGCGCAUCGUGGUGCCUUCCACUUGCUUUUCCAGACUGCUGAGCAGCCCCAUAGGAGCAGGAGGCUGGAACAUUUGCUUCCCUGCGCUCAGAUCCCUAGACUGGAGGUCACAGGUUGAGUCAGGGAGCCCUCUCUAGGCCUCUCUUCUCCUGGAUCUGUAGCAGCCCUUUAUUUUGUGGAGUUCAGGGAAAGAAGCUCCGCCAGUGUCCUAGCUCCAGGCUGCAGCACCAAUUGCAAUGCUGUCUGUACUCUCUACCCUUGCAAACAGUCCCUUUAUAAACCCUCCUCAAAUUAUGCUCAUAUGCAUAUGUGUGUGGGGUUGAGUCUCAGAGAGGUUAAGUCACUUACCCAAAGUCACACAGUCCUCUCCUCUGGUCUCUCUCACACAUUGCUCAUAUCUGUAAUUAUUCUACAGCAAGAGUCUUCACACUGCAGUACACAUAAAGACUUUCCAAGGAAACUUGGAAAGCAAGGAUAAUUUUAAUGGAACGAAUUUUCUGCUCUGCAACUUUUGGUAAGUUCUCUUUGCUAAAACAGAUGUGCCUGAGAAUGAACUGGCAUUUAAAAGAAUUACUUCUCUGUUGCACUUUCCUUUACAAAAGAAUGACAUCUCCCAAACGGAAAUAAUUCCUACCUACAGAUCUCCGUGAAUGACUCUUCUGUCUUCAGUUAAACAAAACAAAAC